CCCACCUCUUACGAGGUGGGCUAUUUUCUUGCGUGCCUUCGGGACU
rnacentral:sRNA from 21 species